rnacentral:rRNA from 1 species
CAGCCGCCGCGGUAAUACGAAGGGGGCUAGCGUUGUUCGGAUUUACUGGGCGUAAAGGGCGCGUAGGCGGACUGAUAAGUCAGGGGUGAAAUCCCAAGGCUCAACCUUGGAACUGCCUUUGAUACUGUUUGUCUUGAGUUCGAGAGAGGUAAGUGGAACUGCGAGUGUAGAGGUGAAAUUCGUAGAUAUUCGCAAGAACACCAGUGGCGAAGGCGGCUUACUGGCUCGAUACUGACGCUGAGGCGCGAAAGCGUGGGGAGCAAACAGGAUUAGAUACCCCAGUAGUCCCUGUCUCUUAUAC